UUGUUUGUUUGGAAGCAAGGUUUAUGAUCAGAUUUUUGUAUACCAGAGAACACUCAAGUCUCCCAACUGCCCGCCUGCCGAGGUUGGAUGUGGCUCCACCAGCUCUGCCUCCCUACUUCCUGUACUGCUGCGGCUACUGCUACAUCAUCUAUCGUGCCUGUUUUUCUAGGAAUCUUAAUGCCAUCAUGCUGGCAUUUUGUUCAACUCAUUAGGUGCGUCAACACUGAAAUUCACUCUUACGGUCAUGUUUUGUUAUUGCAUUAGAGUUUGCAGCAUGAAUCAGGGACAUCCAAUGUUGUUAGAUCUAUUAAUGCAAU